UGCUCUUUGAUGACGACCGGCGCACGGGUGCGUAACGCGUAUACAAUCUGCCUUGUACUGGGGGAUAGCCUUUAGAAAUGAAGAUUAACACCCCAUAAUGUCUUUUAAUCGCAUGGUUAAAAGAUUAAAGGUUACGGUACAAGAUGAGUAUGCGUCCUAUUAGCUAGUUGGUAUGGUAACGGCAUACCAAGGCAACGAUAGGUAGGGGCCCUGAGAGGGGGAUCCCCCACACUGGUACUGAGACACGGACCAGACUCCUACGGGAGGCAGCAGUGAGGAAUAUUGGACAAUGGGGGGAACCCUGAUCCAGCCAUGCCGCGUGCAGGAAGACUGCCCUAUGGGUUGUAAACUGCUUUUGUACGGGAAGAAACACCACUACGUGUAGUGGCUUGACGGUACCGUAAGAAUAAGGAUCGGCUAACUCCGUGCCAGCAGCCGCGGUAAUACGGAGGAUCCAAGCGUUAUCCGGAAUCAUUGGGUUUAAAGGGUCCGUAGGUGGAUCGGUCAGUCAGAGGUGAAAUCCUGCAGCUCAACUGUAGAACUGCCUUUGAUACUGCUGAUCUUGAGUCGUUAUGAAGUAGUUAGAAUAUGUAGUGUAGCGGUGAAAUGCAUAGAUAUUACAUAGAAUACCAAUUGCGAAGGCAGAUUACUAAUAACGUACUGACACUGAUGGACGAAAGCGUGGGUAGCGAACGGGAUUAGAUACCCCGGUAGUCCACGCCGUAAACGAUGGAUACUAGCUGUGCGGCUUCGGCUGUGUGGCUAAGCGAAAGUGAUAAGUAUCCCACCUGGGGAGUACGUUCGCAAGAAUGAAACUCAAAGGAAUUGACGGGGGCCCGCACAAGCGGUGGAGCAUGUGGUUUAAUUCGAUGAUACGCGAGGAACCUUACCAGGGCUUAAAUGCAGUAUGACAGGUUUAGAGAUAGACUUUUCUUCGGACAUAUUGCAAGUGCUGCAUGGUUGUCGUCAGCUCGUGCCGUGAGGUGUCAGGUUAAGUCCUAUAACGAGCGCAACCCCUGUUGU
rnacentral:rRNA from 1 species